UACGUAGGGCGCAAGCGUUGUCCGGAAUUAUUGGGCGUAAAGAGCUCGUAGGCGGCCUGUUACGUCUGCUGUGAAAUCCCGGGGCUUAACCCCGGGCGUGCAGUGGAUACGGGCAGGCUGGAGGCAGGCAGGGGAGAACGGAAUUCCCGGUGUAGCGGUGAAAUGCGCAGAUAUCGGGAGGAACACCGGUGGCGAAAGCGGCUCACUGGACCACAACUGACGCUGAGGCGCGAAAGCCAGGGGAGCGAACGGG
rnacentral:rRNA from 1 species